GACGCUCCCACAGGAGAUGGGACCCCCCCGCGCCCUCCCAACACUCCAGGCAGCAAGCUUCAGAAUGAGAGAUAAGCUCACCAAUGAGAAUGCAGUUUGGUCGCCUUUUCUCCAACCCCCCCGAUAGGCCCCAGCGCUGCGGCUGAUUUCCCUGCUCCCCACAGCCUGUUCUUUGCAUUUCUGAGAGUCUGCUCUCCUGACACACACAUCAAAGUCUGCGAGGUGGACGUCUUCUCUCCGUGUUAAACUACAGACCCAGUAUACACGCAAGAUUUGAAGUACCAGUAAUGUAAUUUGUGACAGAUUUUUUUGUGUAUAAAGAAAUCCACCCAUCUUCGGCUUAUUCUAGACACAGUCAUGGUUAUAUAAAGAACUACUUGUAUAUUUAACUUGUAUAUUUAAUACACAAAUAGAAGCACAAGAAUGUAAUUACCAUGUCUACAUAAUCAGCAUAAAAGUGUUUCAUCUGAUACUCUUUUCUUGCAGAUGUUUCAUGUCUUGGGGAUUACAGCAUACCGCGCUAAUUAUGUUACUGAAAAAUACAGAGAGUGGGUAAUUAUGUUUACAGAAUCUAAUGUGUCUAAGUUAAUCUGAUGUUAAACUGUUAACCAAAAAGUUGUUAAGUCAGAGUGUGUGAGUGUCUUGCGUGACUAAACUCCCUUUUCACUGACUCGCUCAGCCAUGAGGGGUGUCUGUGUGACAGUGACCUAGCUGUGGGUGACAGAGGAGGACCAAUACAGCCACUGUGGGUGACAGAGGAGGAUCAAUACAGCCAGUGGGUGACAGAGGAGGACCAAUACAGCCACUGUGGGUGACAGAGGAGGACCAAUACAGCCACUGUGGGUGACAGAGGAGGACCAAUACAGCCAGUUGCAUUCAAGAUGUUAUCAGAGAGGUCAUAAAUAUCAGUAAUGGAACCCAGUGAUCAGGUGUUCCAUCCAACAAGGAGAACUCAGCUGGAGGGAGCGGAUGUGUGUGCAGAAUAGCUGUAUCGUUACGUCACGCACCGAGAGAGAGGAACCCAGACCAAAGGCACAACUGCAGUUCUGGGGACUUCAGGCUUGCUGUGCAGUUCUGGGAUUGUCGCUCUAACCAGGUGUGAUAAGCAGCCUCAAGUCACCUGCAUUUAUACCACAGAUAUAAGGCAUGAUUCUGCAACCCAACUUCCAAAAAAGUUGGGAUGCUGGGUAAAAUGUGAAUAAAAACAGAAUGCAAUGAUUUGCAAAUCGUAUAAAACCAUAUUUAAUUGAAAAUAGAACGAAGACAACAUGCCAAAUGCUGUAUCUGAGAAAUGUUAUCUUUUUAUGUCAAAUAUAAGCUCAAUUUGAAUUUGAUGCCAGCAACACGUUUAGAAAAUGCUGGGACAAUGGCAUGUUUACCAUGGUGCUGCGUCACCUCCUCUUCUAACAACAAUAUGUAAAUGUUUGGGGACUGAGGAGACCAGUUGCUGGGGUUUUGAAGGUGAAAUGUUGUCCCAUUCUUGCCUGAUAUAGGCUUUGAACUGCUCAACAGUUCUGGGUCUCUUUUGUCAUAUUUUUUGUUUCAUGACGCACCAAAUGUUUUCAAUGGGUGACAGGUCUGGACUGCAGGCAGGCCAGUCUAGCACCCAGACUCCGACUAUGGAGCCAUGCUGUUGUAAUACUUGCAGAAUGUGUUUUGGCAUCGUCUUGCUGAAAUAUACAAGGCCUUCUUUGAAAAAGAUGGAUGGCAGCACAUGACACUCAAACAUUUUUGGAACAAAUGUUUUUAUAAAAUGAAUCUAAACUUGGUACAUUUCUGGCUUUUGUAGUGUGUACCUGACAAAUUAACGAGUUCUGCAAGUAUUGGCAGUGUUCACAUUUUAUGAAUUUUACAAUGGCAGACAGCAGACUGCAAGGCAGAUAUGGGCAUCCUAGUUCAACUUCCUAAAAGAACAUUACUGUUGUUUCUGGCUCUAUACAUUUCUCUAGACUCCAGGCAGUCUUCUCAGUAUGUCCAUGAUACCAUAUAGACAGAUUCCCUCCCCUAACAUCAGUACUGUAUACGGCUAGGUCCAAAAAAGAUACAGACCUUACUACACUUUCAAGAGUCUUUACCUUGACCUGAAGGUAAUCGUAGGCCAGUGUUUGCCUUAGUCAAGUAAGAAAUGGUUAAUCAACAUCUUUUCUUUUCUUUCGCUCUGCUCAAAAUCAGUCGCAGUUAUGCGAUUGUGCUAUCCCAGCAAAAUUAAAUUAAAAACUAAACGGCCCAUUACCCUCGCUUUCAGAUGCAUCAUAACUCACCCUGCAAUGUCAGUCCCUCCAAGGCCCUUUGGGGUUCUGCAUGUCCAACUUUCCAAAACAUUUCCUUAAUGUGAUUCCUCAGAAAACCAAACUGACAGCCCAAAUGAGAUGACUAUACUAACAGCAAUCAUUGAAUGGGGAAGUCUUACAUACCACACAGCUGCUAUAUAUUACAGACUUUAUUUGCCCAGAAUGGUGACACUAGCAUUCAGCAGUGGUUUCAUCUCUUCAAGAUCCCAGCUACCACCACCCAUGGGCCCAGAGUUCCUUAAACUGGUGUAAACUGAUGUGGGUCACAAUUCCCUUUCAGUACUGGGAGGUGUUUCCCUGCAGCACAGCCAUAAUCACACCUCUUGAACUUCCAGAAGCCAUGUGAAUAUCCUGUGCAGCGGGAAGAUCCAGGAAACAGAGAGGGCCUCUUCAAAUACAGCGCUCCCAUGUUGUAGCUUAGCAGCUAUAGAAGAUCUCGCAUUCAGGGCUCCAGAGAACUUCCAUUGGGAGCUGGUGAUGAUGAGCGAUGGGGAAUUUGAGGGAUGAGAGUGCUUGUAUCCAGAAAACGACAAACAAAAAUCAUGUGAUGUGACUUUGGGAUGAGGGACCUGAGAUCCACCUUAAUAAGAUGCAACUGCCUCAGAUAGUUAAAUGCAGCCCACAGCCCCAUGGGAAACGAAACGCAACAGAUGUCUUAAGCCCAGUCUGAACCCCACAGAGACCAUGAAAACAAGAGGCUAUUUUCCUUAAUGAGCAAAAGAUUGUUUUUUUUUUCCAGCUCUCUGGAACUACUUUCCAAUGUGGCAGUGGAAUGCCGUUAUUGUCAGUACAAGUCCCGCCCAUUGUCCAGCUAAUUCCAAAAGAAUGGUCCAUCAAGAAACCUUCAGAACUAUUUUUAUAGGUAUUGAAAAACGCUGUAAUUGUAGGCACCACUAUAAAAAUAAAAUAUGAAUGUUUUUCUCACUUGUGAAAUGUGAACUGAUAUGCUCAUCAAAAACCGUUAAGAUGACAGAACACAGAUGGCUUGGAGGAGAGAGAAGGGGCUUUUAUUACCUUUGAAUGCUUUGAAAGCCUUUGCAGGGUAAUCCUUCUGCUCUUUUCCUAUCAUUUACUCAGCUUUUAGUGUCAUGUUAUGAUUAAGUUCUCAGACAGACAUUUGCCGUCCCGACAGAGUCGAGUUGCUGCUUACUCCAGCCUCCUAGCAAUUUGAAUGUUUUCCAAGGAUGCAAAAUAAACGAACCGAGCAGAACUGGGUGGGGUCACACAUGAGGUCAGACAUUUUCUGGCACAUAAAUGAUCCCUUGAAUUUCUAUACCUUGUCUCCUUCCCUGGAAUGGUGGGGUGGUUUAUUUAAAAAACAGCAGUGGACUCGGCAAUCUUUCAGAAAAAGACGGCUUCAUCCUGAAGACUGAGCGUACUGUCAUCAUGUAUUCAUGUGGAUGCUGAAACCAGUUUGGCCUGUUUACACACAGCCAUGCUGACAUAGUCUUCCUGGUUAGAGUCCCAGGUAGCAGGUUAGUGUAAUUCUGAUUCUCUCUCCUGUAAAAUUGCCUGGCUGUAUAAAUGUGUAAAAACAUACUAAGGAAUGGCAGUAAGCAAAUACACAUUUAUGAAAAUCAAA